UACAGCUGUCAGCGGUUCUGAGGAACCACUGUUUCCAGAAAUCAGGAAACCCUGAGAAGGUGGAUACUUAGUAGGUUCAUGAAUAAAUUCUGCACUGGAAAAAGGAGCGGUGCCACCACAUUCUCUCUGUAAACUGGGAGUUCAUUGGUUAUUCAUCAUCAUAUCAUGAACUGAUAGAAUCAGGGUUGUGAAUCUAGUAAUAGAUGCUUAUUGAUUGGAGUACAAAGAAAACUAAUCUGGAAAAUAAGUUGACAAAUAUUUUAUAAACAUUAUCAAA